GACGCUAAUACUACCCACAAUCACGCCACAAUCGGCCGUCUCCUCCGUGGCCUCCGCCGCCGCGGCCGUCUCCUCCCGGAACGCUCGAUCUACGAUGCUCUAGUUCUUGUGCUAUAGUAUACACCUCCUGAACACCAUUACUACCGGGCGAGAUCUUCAUCUGGCACUAGCCAGUUGCCAAUUGCCAUCGGCAUCCACUGCAGGUCUGGUUGGUGAGCGGCUGCCAUCAGCAUCCAGGACACCCGGUUUGAUCUUCUGCGACUUGCGAUUACUACACAUGGUGGACAUCAUCGAUUACGUGGAGCAGUGGAUGAGACACAACAGCAGGGUGUUUUGCUUCUGUAAACGAGCACUAAAUAGAAGUUCAUUUACCUGAGCGGCGCUACAACCAUGGAUGUCACAAACAAUAAAGAUGAAUUUGAUCAUAAACUAUUUGAACCAACACAUGAUGAUUGGGACGCUGAUGAAGAUACCAAGCGGACAUGGAUUGCACAACGAAAACUUAUAUGGUCGAUAAAUAUGUACAAGGUACUACAGCAACAUUUAUAAGUCAUGUUACAAAUCCAGCUUAAAUAAAUAUGUAUUUGCAUAGAGCAUAUUUAUGUAUUAAUUAAAUUAAUAUCAUCUCUACAAUAUCUCGCCAACAGAUCAUGAUUGUGUGCUUUCAGAGGGCCCAGCUGCAAUAAUGUAUAUUCAUACCACUUUAUCAGUCCUCAUGUGAAUAUAUAUUGUUAAACGUGUGCUUCAUACUUUCAUUUUAGGCAUCUUGGUAAACCAUUUUAUUUUUAUGGAUUAAUACUUAAUGAUUUAUCGUUUGCACUCUGUAACUUCAAGUGAAUUUUCUUGUACCAAGAUCCCCGAUACUCAUGCCGUCUACUAGCCUAACAACUAUUUUUUUAUCAAACCUAUUAAGUAAAGCUUUUCUGUGAUUCUAAUCAAAUUUACACAUUCGAGUUGAUUUCAUAUUAAAACAGUAAAAUAUAUUAUUUUAUUAUCUUUUAACCUUGUUGUUGUUUGGUUAAUUGCCCAAAGUAGCUUGUGUUUGCAAACACGGAAGAAGUUUUAUUAAUUCCCUAAAGAUCUCUAAGUCAUAAUUUAGGACUUAGAUAGAACGUAACUUAGAUGGUUAAUACUAUAAAUAACUUUACCAUUCAUUCUUAUGCAAAAGUGUUUUCAGACUGUAUACAUGUUCAAAUACAAUUAUGUAAAAUUUAAAAUAUGGAACAAAAUGAUUGGUUGUUUUUAUGUGUAUCCUUGAGAUAAAACCGUGAUGUUAGCACGAGUAUUAUAUGAUAAGCUACGCAUGAAGCUGAAGCUGAGCGGUUAGAGCAUCUCCAAAAGUUUGCUAAAACACUUGCUAUCUCACAAAUUUUGGCAAAUCCAUGAUAAAAACUCUCUCCGACAGUUUGCUAACACAUGUUUACCAAAAAUCUGGAGUUGCCAUCCUCCCUAUCCGCGCGCGGACUUCUACACGCGCGGACUCGUCGCGUAUCUCGUUCCCGGCGCCGUUCGUUGCCGCGAGCUGCUGCCGUGCUGCUGCCGCUGAGGCCUUGUUCAGUUUGCAAAAAAAUUUGGGUUUGGGUACUGUAGCAUUUUCGU